GACGAACGCUGGCGGCGUGCUUAACACAUGCAAGUCGAACGAAGUGGCGAACGGGUGAGUAACGCGUAAUCAACCUGCCCUUCAGAGGGGGACAACAGUUGGAAACGACUGCUAAUACCGCAUACUGAAGGAGGGGAUUGCGUCUGAUUAGCUAGUUGGAGGGGUAACGGCCCACCAAGGCGAUGAUCAGUAGCCGGGUCGGGGAGAUGAACCGCCACCAUGGGGCUGAGGCAACGCCCAGACUUCUACCGGAGGGCACAAGUGGGGAUCAUCCGACAUGGAGGGAAGUCCGACUGAGGCACGCCGCGUGAGUGAUAACGGCCUUCGGGGUGUAAAAGUAUGUUAAUCGGGGCGCGUUACCGAAAUAGAAAGCCACGGCUAACUACGUGCCAGCAGCCGCGGUAAUUC
rnacentral:rRNA from 1 species